GGAAGGGUCGCUCAGCGGGAGAGCACCGCGGUGCCCUCCGGGUCCGCGGCGGCAUCACUGCCUCGUGGCGUUCGAAUCCCACCCCUUCCG
rnacentral:tRNA from 2 species